rnacentral:lncRNA from 1 species
UUCCCUCACACAAGGUAAGACAAUCUACUUACCUUGAACCAACUCAAAAAUCAAUCCAAUAUCACGCUCUUGCCACGAGUAUCCAACUCCGAGCAGCCCAAAUCUAAUCAAAUCAAUUACAUAACAUAAAUAAAACUGCAAGAAUCUAGUUUAACUAAUGAAUUUGAAGCUAUGACGAGAAAUAAGAAAAAUGCCCAAAACUCUUCCCCGGUCCCAAGACUCGUACUCGGGUAAAAAUUAUGGAUUAUGAACGCCAAUUUACUUAAGCGUUCACUCGUACAAAAUCAUCCCAAUCCGUCAUCAAAUUCAUAUUCAAAACUCAAAUUUUCUAUUGGGAAACUUUUUCGCUCGUUUCCAGACUUCUACCCUCAAAUUCCUUUAUUAGAUGACAAAAAUAAUAAUAGAUUAAUGUAUUAGAACCAAUUUAUAGUUUGAAUUCGUUACCCAGUAGUUAUCCUUCAAAAUCUCUCAAGAAAUUCACCUAUUCCCGAGCUCAAAAUCAAAAUUUGAAGUUAUGAACUCAAACCCUCGAAGUUUCAUAUUUCUGUCCAGCGAUUACCACAUCUGCGGUCAUGAGGCCGCAUCUAUGACCAGAGAACCGCUCCUGCGAAAACUCAUUAAACCUCCAAGCACCGCACAUGCACUCCUCUCUUCGCAGAUGCGCUCCCGCUUCUGCAGUCCUUGAGCCGCAUCUACAUCCAACUGACCUCAUGCCUCAGACCGCAUCUACAGUCACCAAAACGCUUAUGUGAUGCCGUGCCUGCGGUCCAAAAUCUGCAGGUGCAAAAAUAAUAGGUUUAGCAAAUUCAGAAAUUGCCCAAGUCCAAAUUCCAAUCCGUUAAGCAUCUGAAACUCACCCGAGGCCCCCGGGACCUCAACCAAACAUACUAACGAGUCCUAAAAUAUCAUGCGGGCUCAAUCGAACCCUCAAUCACAUCAAACAAUUCCAAAAUCACGAAUUGCACUCCAAUCUAAGCCUAAUAAACUUGAAAUCCCAAGAAUUCUACAACUGAUGCCGAAACUAACCAAACCAUGUCUGAUUGACCUUAAAUUUUGCACAGAAGUCACAUGCAAUACUACAGAACUAUUCCAACUUUCAGAAUCGGAUUCCGACCUCGAUAUCAAAAUCUCGGUAUCGAUCCGGAAACUUCAAAAAUUCAACUUUUGGCAUUUCAAGCCUAAAUAAGUUACAGACCUCCAAAACACAAUCCGAAUACGCCUCUAAGCCUGAAAUCACCCAACGGUGCUAGCUGAAUUGACAGAAUCCCAUUCCGAGGCCGGCCUCAUACUAUUUCGACUACGGUCUAAAUUCUAAAGCUUAAACUUUCACUUAGGGACUAAAUGCGUCAAAACACUCUGAAACUCAAAAUGAAUCUUUCCGGUAAUUCAUGAUAGCAAAAACAAAAACAGAGAAAGCAGUUAAUAGGGAAUUGAUACAUUAAUUCUCAAAAUAACUGACCGAAUCGUUACAUAUAAUCUGUUGGAGAUGGUGGGGGAUUUUCCUUCCAAACAUCUUGAUGAUAAGUUAGAAUUUUCAUGGUUGAUAUAUCCUAAGUUUUUACUCCCGUGACAGUGGGGUUGGCUCUGUGCUCCCUAUGUUUGAAGUCGUUUCAAGCUCUAUUCCUGGUAGCAUUAUGGAUUGUAAACAUUUGACUUUGUCAAGUGUUUCUCUACUAGGAUUUCCUUGAAGGUAUUCUUGAUUGUUGGUUCCACAUCCAUUAGUGUAAUGUAAAUGUCCGGUAGUUCAAAGGAUUCCUGUAGCAAUGGGGUAUUGGGUCCUUUGCUAGCUGUGGGGAUAAAG